AUGGUCUCAAGCACAUCCUAAUUCAAUCAAUCACAAUGAUGCACUAUUAUAGUUGUAUCUUAACAAAUAUAACAACUAAACCUAGUAUCCAAUCAUAUCUCUAAGAUAUGAAAUCAUAAUCAUACAAUAUGAUUAUAACUAAGUAUCUCAAGUAUAUCACAUAUGCAUGAAGUUUUAAUAACAUGCAUGAACACAAAAUACUCCUUUUAUGAUUCUUCUUCUUAGGACAUCACAGUGGCACCCCUACACACCAUAAGAGAGCCCCAU
rnacentral:lncRNA from 1 species